UACGGAGGGUGCAAGCGUUAUCCGGAUUCACUGGGUUUAAAGGGUGUGUAGGCGGGUAUUUAAGUCAGUGGUGAAAUCUCCAGGCUCAACCUGGAAACUGCCAUUGAUACUAUUUACCUUGAAUUCUGUUGAGGUGGGCGGAAUACAUCAUGUAGCGGUGAAAUGCUUAGAUAUGAUGUAGAACACCAAUUGCGAAGGCAGCUCACUAAACAGACAUUGACGCUGAGGCACGAAAGCGUGGGGAUCAAACAGGG
rnacentral:rRNA from 1 species